AUGAAGGAGCCGGAUGCCAUCAAGCUGUUUGUGGGGCAGAUCCCGAGGCAUCUGGAGGAAAAGGACCUGAAGCCCAUCUUUGAACAGUUCGGUCGGAUCUUCGAGCUGACUGUCAUCAAGGACAAGUACACCGGGCUGCACAAGGGAUGUGCCUUCCUGACAUACUGUGCCCGCGAUUCAGCCCUGAAGGCCCAGAGCGCCCUGCACGAACAGAAGACGCUUCCAGGGAUGAACAGGCCAAUCCAGGUCAAGCCAGCCGACAGCGAGAGCCGAGGAGAAGACCGGAAGCUCUUUGUGGGGAUGCUAGGGAAGCAGCAGACAGAUGAGGACGUCAGAAAGAUGUUCGAGCCUUUUGGGACCAUAGACGAGUGCACUGUGCUCCGGGGGCCAGAUGGCACCAGCAAAGGCUGCGCCUUUGUGAAGUUCCAGACCCAUGCUGAGGCCCAGGCAGCCAUCAACACCCUUCACAGCAGCCGGACCCUGCCAGGUGCCUCGUCCAGCCUGGUGGUGAAGUUUGCUGACACAGAGAAGGAGCGAGGUCUCCGCCGAAUGCAGCAGGUGGCCACCCAGCUGGGCAUGUUCAGCCCCAUCGCCCUGCAGUUUGGAGCCUACAGCGCCUACACCCAGGCCCUGAUGCAGCAGCAGGCAGCCCUGGUAGCGGCUCACAGUGCCUACCUCAGCCCUAUGGCCACCAUGGCUGCCGUGCAGAUGCAGCACAUGGCUGCCAUCAAUGCCAAUGGCCUCAUCGCCACCCCCAUCACCCCAUCCUCAGGAACCAGCACCCCUCCUGCCAUGGCCGCCACGCCCGUCUCUGCGAUCCCUGCCGCCCUGGGUGUCAACGGCUACAGCCCGGUGCCCACCCAGCCCACCGGGCAGCCUGCCCCCGAUGCUCUGUAUCCCAACGGGGUUCACCCCUAUCCAGCCCAGAGCCCCGCGGCCCCCGUGGACCCCCUGCAGCAGGCCUACGCGGGGAUGCAGCACUACACAGCAGCCUACCCAGCAGCCUACAGCCUGGUUGCGCCCGCGUUCCCACAGCCUCCCGCCCUGGUCGCCCAGCAGCCCCCCCCUCCUCCCCAGCAGCAGCAGCAACAGCAGCAGCAGCAGCAGCAGCAAAGGGAAGGCCCUGACGGCUGCAACAUCUUCAUCUACCACCUGCCCCAGGAGUUCACGGACUCAGAGAUCCUCCAGAUGUUUGUCCCCUUUGGCCAUGUCAUCUCAGCCAAAGUCUUUGUUGACCGGGCCACCAACCAGAGCAAGUGUUUUGGCUUUGUGAGUUUCGACAAUCCGGCCAGCGCUCAGGCUGCCAUCCAGGCCAUGAACGGUUUCCAGAUUGGCAUGAAGCGCCUCAAAGUCCAGCUAAAGCGGCCUAAGGAUGCCAACAGGCCCUACUGAGGGCCCCCAGCCCAGGGCCCGUGUCCAUUGUCGGCCGAAGCCCCCAUCCCCGGACCCCUGCUCCGGGCCCCUGUCUGGAGACACCAGAGGAAGGGGCGCCACACCCCACUCCCCACGACUGGCCCCAGCCCUCUCUGCACACCUGCCCAGGGCCUCCAUGGGGCUCUGGGGCAAAAGCUGCUUCAUAGCCCUGGGGGAGCAGGACACCGGCCCAUCCCAGCACCCUGCCCCUCCUGAAGGGCCUGUUUCCUCCCAGGUGCCCUUUUGGCCUUUGUGAGGGACCAAGGGACAGGCUCGAAGGCUCCGGGGGAUCUGCCUUCUGCUGGGGCUCCUGUGGUGACCUUCUGGCCCAGCUUUCGCACUUGCGUCCCCCACCAGCGGGCCUGUGGCCCCGGGAGGGCAGCGGGGGCCUCCCACAAGCUCCCCACCUCACCUUUGCCCCAGCCUCUUCCCCACCUUAGGGGUUUCUCAGAAGCUGGUUCUCACACUCCCUGCCACCCUCAGCUAGAGGUAGAAUAUCCCUGGACCCUGGACCCUGGGCCCCCGGCCCUAAAACUCACUGCCUCCCCCAUGGGCCCCUCUAAGGAGGGUGUGGGGGAGCCCUGAGGGCUGCCUCUCCACCAGUCAGCCACAGAGACCCUCCUCCUUUCACGAGGAAAAGACUUCCCGCGAACCCCUAAGAAUGUUUACAGUCUCUGCUGGUCCCUCCGUGUAAAUACCACUACCACCGUGCGUUAUCCAGCCCGGCCCGGCCCGGAUGCUGCCACCUCUCUUUCUGGGAGUUUAGACAAUGUUUCCCUUGGAUUUUUUCUCUCUCUUGAUUUCUCCCUUUGCUUUGGGGGUAAUUGGGUGUUUGGGAGGAGGGGUGUGGGGAGGGUGACAGGGGUUUAUUACCUGAUCAUUUUCUUUAGAAAGAGGUUUUAGGGGAAAGAAACGGGUGGGGGGAGGGAGUGGUAAGGGGAGACUGGGGAGUCCGUUUCAGACACUUCUCUAUGCUUAACUUAUUUAUUUAUUGCAUUUUACUUUUAAAGAGUUGGUCUUUUCUGUCUAAAUAAAGAAAACAGUUUAAAAGCA